ACGGGUGAGUAACACGUGAGUAACCUGCCCUUGACUUUGGGAUAACUUCAGGAAACUGGGGCUAAUACCGGAUAGGAGCUCCUGCUGCAUGGUGGGGGUUGGAAAGUUUCGGCGGUUGGGGAUGGACUCGCGGCUUAUCAGCUUGUUGGUGGGGUAGUGGCUUACCAAGGCUUUGACGGGUAGCCGGCCUGAGAGGGUGACCGGCCACAUUGGGACUGAGAUACGGCCCAGACUCCUACGGGAGGCAGCAGUGGGGAAUAUUGCACAAUGGGCGGAAGCCUGAUGCAGCAACGCCGCGUGCGGGAUGACGGCCUUCGGGUUGUAAACCGCUUUCGCCUGUGACGAAGCGUGAGUGACGGUAAUGGGUAAAGAAGCACCGGCUAACUACGUGCCAGCAGCCGCGGUGAUACGUAGGGUGCGAGCGUUGUCCGGAUUUAUUGGGCGUAAAGGGCUCGUAGGUGGUUGAUCGCGUCGGAAGUGUAAUCUUGGGGCUUAACCNNGAGCGUGCUUUCGAUACGGGUUGACUUGAGGAAGGUAGGGGAGAAUGGAAUUCCUGGUGGAGCGGUGGAAUGCGCAGAUAUCAGGAGGAACACCAGUGGCGAAGGCGGUUCUCUGGGCCUUUCCUGACGCUGAGGAGCGAAAGCGUGGGGAGCGAACAGGCUUAGAUACCCUGGUAGUCCACGCUGUAAACGGUGGGUACUAGGUGUGGGGUCCAUUCCACGGGUUCCGUGCCGUAGCUAACGCUUUAAGUACCCCGCCUGGGGAGUACGGCCGCAAGGCUAAAACUCAAAGGAAUUGACGGGGCCCCGCACAAGCGGCGGAGCAUGCGGAUUAAUUCGAUGCAACGCGUAGAACCUUACCUGGGUUUGACAUGGAUCGGGAGUGCUCAGAGAUGGGUGUGCCUCUUUUGGGGUCGGUUCACAGGUGGUGCAUGGCUGUCGUCAGCUCGUGUCGUGAGAUGUUGGGUUAAGUCCCGCAACGAGCGCAACCCUUGUUCACUGUUGCCAGCACGUUAUGGUGGGGACUCAGUGGAGACCGCCGGGGUCAACUCGGAGGAAGGUGGGGAUGACGUCAAGUCAUCAUGCCCCUUAUGUCCAGGGCUUCACGCAUGCUACAAUGGCUGGUACAGAGAGUGGCGAGCCUGUGAGGGUGAGCGAAUCUCGGAAAGCCGGUCUCAGUUCGGAUUGGGGUCUGCAACUCGACCUCAUGAAGUCGGAGUCGCUA
rnacentral:rRNA from 1 species